CUGGGUGAGACCCCUGCCUCUGCCUCUCAAGGUCUGUGCCACUGAGCCUGGCUUCCAGGCUCUUCCGGAAAUGAAGUUCUGCUGAUGUCUCACUUUUAUUGAUGUACAUUUAUGUGACUUCUUCAGUCUCACUGGCCCAUGUGUUUCCUGCUGUCCUUGUACUGAUCGCUGUAACAGCUCUCGCUGCCCGUGUUUCCUGUCAGCACGGCAAGCGAGAGCUUAUAGAACUGUUAGAGGUAACUCUUAGGGUCUGUGGAUGGCACAUAUUGUGGAAGUGAAUUUUUGUGUGUGUGUUUAUUUACAGAAGAAGUCCUGAUAUCCAAGCAAAGGAAGAGCUGUGGAAGCACAUCCAGAAGGAACUUGUGGACCCAUCUGGACUGUCAGAAGAGCAGUUGAAAGAGAUCCCAUACACAAAAGUAGAGACUCAGGGUGACCCUGUCCGCAUCAGGCAUGCGCACUCGCCUCGGAGUUACAGGCAGUACCGCAGAUCCCAGUGUUCUGACGGAGAGCGGUCCGUCCUCUCGGAAGUGAACUCAAAAACAGAUCUUGUACCGCCGCUUCCGGUCACCCGUUCCUCAGACGCUCAGGGGUGCGGUGGCUUUACGGUU